rnacentral:lncRNA from 1 species
GACCAAUUCGCAUCAGAGCCAUCCGAUCGCGCACUACAGUCUCAAAUCAAGCCUGAUCAUGCCCAAAUUGAGUUCCAACCAUCCGAUCAUGACUGCAUACGAUCUAGACUGUCGAAUCAUGCAUAAAUAUUUUUAGACCGCAUGUAGACCGUGUGAUUGGUCUACACGGCCUCCAUGGACCACCCAGCACCUUGCGGUCCAUGGUGGACUGCC